ACGCACGCUGGCGGCGUGCCUAAUACAUGCAAGUCGCGCGAAGUUUUUCUGGUGCUUGCACUAGAAAAACUUAGCGGCGAACGGGUGAGUAACACGUAAAGAACCUGCCUCAUAGACUGGGACAACUAUUGGAAACGAUAGCUAAUACCGGAUAACAGUAUUUCUCGCAUGAGAGAUAUUUAAAAGUUGGUUAUGCUAACACUAUGAGAUGGCUUUGCGGUGCAUUAGCUAGUUGGUGGGGUAAAGGCCCACCAAGGCGACGAUGCAUAGCCGACCUGAGAGGGUGAUCGGCCACACUGGGACUGAGACACGGCCCAGACUCCUACGGGAGGCAGCAGUAGGGAAUCUUCCGCAAUGGGCGAAAGCCUGACGGAGCAACGCCGCGUGAGUGAAGAAGGAUUUCGGUUCGUAAAGCUCUGUUGUUAGGGAAGAAUGGAUAUGUAGUAACUAUACAUGUAAGAGACGGUACCUAACCAGAAAGCCACGGCUAACUACGUG
rnacentral:rRNA from 1 species